CACGACGCAUUACUGAGUGCCAGGAUACAGCCAUUAGCCGUGGUAUAUUGGCCAUAUACCAUAAACCCCUGAGGUACCUUAUUGUUAUUAUAAACUAGUUACAAAUGUAAUUCCCGUGUUAUACGGUCUGAUAUACCAUGGCUGUCAGCCAAUCAGCAGUCAGGGCUGGAACUACCCAGUUUACAAUACAGUAUAUAUAUUGAGUAAGAUAAAUAAAACACAAAAUACAGGCUUAUGAGAGACUUUCCAACAGGUGCCUCCAAAAAGCAUGUUUUGAUUGAAUCAACCUCAGUAAAAUCACAACAGAGAGAGAGAGAGAGAGAGAAGAGCAUAGCUAGUGAUGACAGCUUCCUGUUGGUGUGAAGGGGAGAGGGCGGGAACCAAUGGCUGUGCAGUAGCCUCAGAACACUGAACUGGAAUCCCAAAAGGCACCCUUUCCCUAUAUCGUGCACUACUAUAGGCACUGGUCAAAAGUAGAGCACUAUGUAGGGAAUAGGGUGCCAUUUGGGAGAACUAAGAACUGUUAUUUUCACAUCACCACCCAGCAGGGAGUCCGCUACACCGAACCGUCUUAUUUUCCUCUGUCUUACCACACUAUCAGCCUGGAUGGGAAAUGACCAGAACCUGGAGGAUAAUGAAAGCCUCACAGCCAGAGAAGUAUCUGCCAAAUAUGUGACAACCAUUUAUAAAUAUUCAUACCAGUAAUUUCAACAAUUUCUUUCACAUAGCCCAUAAAACUGGGAAAAUGUAGUAAGCACACAAGAUUAUUUGCUUAAAUAUCCACAUCUUUUCCCAAAAAUCCACAUAGUGACAUUGAAUCACAUACCGUCUCUUUAGUUACUAUCUAGUUUUCAGUACUUGCUAUACGAACCUGUCAGUACAGUGUUGUAUUAUAAAUCAGACAGUCUAUUUGUUAAUAUCCACCUACUUACCAAAGGCCCUAUCGUUAAUGAAUGAUGACAACCCACCCCCCGCUGGUUUACCCCAGCCGCCCCCUCCUAUCCUGAGCCUCUGCCCCCUACACCCUACACAACACUCAAGCCCCAAGUGGCUUAUUGAAAUUCCAAAACUAAAACACACACUCAAACACAGUCUCCUGAGUUUGCCGCACAUCGUUAGACGAGCACAACCCGGCCCUCCCUCCAGCGACAGAGAGGAGCGAAGUGCUGCCAGCUCUGGCAUGGAUACGGAACCAGGCUCACACAGGGGAAUGGACCCAGGGCUGGAAAAACUUGGCAAGGAAUGGCUAGGGGUACCACCUGUGUGGAACGCUUCUGGAACAUUCUACUGCUCAGAGACAAGAGGAGGAUCAGCUGUGGAGAGAGAGAGGAGACAAGAGGAGGAUAAGCUGUGGAGAGAGAGAGGAGACAAGAGCAGGAUCAGCUGUGGAGAGAUAGAGGAGACAAGAGGAGGAUCAGCUGUGGAGAGAGGAGACAAGAGGAGGAUCAGCUGUGGAGAGAGAGAGGAGACAAGAGGAGGAUAAGCUGUGGAGAGAGAGAGGAGACAAGAGGAGGAUCAGCUGUGGAGAGAGAGAGGAGACAAGAGGAGGAUCAGCUGUGGAGAGAGAGGAGACAAGAGGAGGAUAAGCUGUGGAGAGAGAGAGGAGACAAGAGGAGGAUAAGCUGUGGAGAGAGAGAGGAGACAAGAGGAGGAUCCGCUGUGGAGAGAGAGAGGAGACAAGAGGAGGAUCAGCUGUGGAGAGAGAGAGGAGACAAGAGGAGGAUAAGCUGUGGAGAGAGAGAGGAGACAAGAGGAGGAUCAGCUGUGGAGAGAGAGAGGAGACAAGAGGAGGAUCAGCUGUGGAGAGAGAGAGGAGACAAGAGGAGGAUCAGCUGUGGAGAGAGAGAGGAGACAAGAGGAGGAUCAGCUGUGGAGAGAGAGAGGAGACAAGAGGAGGAUCAGCUGUGGAGAGAGAGAGGAGACAAGAGGAGGAUAAGCUGUGGAGAGAGAGAGGAGACAAGAGGAGGAUCCGCUGUGGAGAGAGAGAGGAGACAAGAGGAGGAUCAGCUGUGGAGAGAGAGAGGAGACAAGAGGAGGAUCAGCUGUGGAGAGAGAGAGGAGACAAGAGGAGGAUAAGCUGUGGAGAGAGAGAGGAGACAAGAGGAGGAUCAGCUGUGGAGAGAGAGAGGAGACAAGAGGAGGAUCAGCUGUGGAGAGAGAGAGGAGACAAGAGGAGGAUAAGCUGUGGAGAGAGAGAGGAGACAAGAGGAGGAUAAGCUGUGGAGAGAGAGAGGAGACAAGAGGAGGAUCCGUUGAGGAGACAAGAGGAGGAUCAGCUGUGGAGAGAGAGAGGAGACAAGAGGAGGAUAAGCUGUGGAGAGAGAGAGGAGACAAGAGGAGGAUCAGCUGUGGAGAGAGAGAGGAGACAAGAGGAGGAUCAGCUGUAGAGAGAGAGAGGAGACAAGAGGAGGAUAAGCUGUGGAGAGAGAGAGGAGACAAGAGGAGGAUCAGCUGUGGAGAGAGAGAGGAGACAAGAGGAGGAUCAGCUGUGGAGAGAGAGAGGGGACAACCCCCUUGGGUUGUGCCGUGGGGGAGAUCUUCGUGGGCUAUACUCGGCCUUGUCUCAGGAUGGACCUGAGCUCUAGGACCAUGCCUCAGGACUACCUGGCCCGAUGACUCCUUGCUGUCCCCAGUUCACCUGGCCGUGCUGCUGCUCCAGUUUCAACUGUUCUGCCUGCGUCUAUGGAACCCUGACCUGUUCACCGGACGUGUUACCUGUCCCAGACCUGCUGUUUUCAACUCUCUAGAGACAGCAGGAGCGGUAGAGAUAUUCUGAAUGAUCGGCUAUAAAAAGCCAACUGACAUUUACUCCUGAGGUGCUGACCUGUUGCACCCCCUACAACCACUGUGAUGAUUAUUGUUUGACCCUGCUUGUCAUCUAUGAACAUUUGAACAUCUUGGCCAUGUUCUGUUAUAAUCUCCAACCGGCACAGCCAGAAGAAGACUGGCCACACCUCAUAGCCUGGUUCCUCUCUAGGUUUCUUCCUAGGUCUUGGACUUUCUAGGGAGCUUUUCCUAGCCACCGUGCUUCUACACCUGCAUUGCUUGCUGUUUGGGGUUUUAGGCUGGGUUUCUGUACAACACUUUGUGGCAUCAGUAAGAUGUGCUUUAUAAAUACAUUUGAUUGAUUGAUUGACAAUAGGGGGAUCAGCUGUGGAAAGAGAGAGGAGACAAGAGGAGGAUCAGCUGUGGAGAGAGGAGACAAGAGGAGGAUCAGCUGUGGAGAGAGAUGAGACACGAGGAGGAUCAGCUCUGGAGAGAGGAGACAAGAAGAGGAUCAGCUGUGGAGAGAGGAGACAAGAGGAGGAUCAGCUGUGGAGAGAGAUGAGACACGAGGAGGAUCAGCUCUGGAGAGAGGAGACAAGAAGAGGAUCAGCUGUGGAGAGAGGAGACAAGAGGAGGAUCAGCUGUGGAGAGAGAUGAGACACGAGGAGGAUCAGCUGUGGAGAGAGGAGACAAGAGGAGGAUCAGCUGUGGAGAGAGGAGCCAAUUGAAGGAUCAGCUGUGGAGAGAGGAGACAAGAGGAGGAUCAGCUGUGGAGAGAGGAGACAAGAGGAGGAUCAGCUGUGGAGAGAGGAGACAAGAAGAGGAUCAGGUGUGAAGAGAGAGGAGACAAUUGAAGGAUCAGCUGUGGAGAGAGGAGACAAGAGGAGGAUCAGCUGUGGAGAGAGAGAGGAGACAAGAGGAGGAUCAGCUGUGGAGAGAGAGAGGAGACAAGAGGAGGAUCAGCUGUGGAGAGAGAGAGGAGACAAGAAGAGGAUCAGCUGUGGAGAGAGAGGAGACAAGAGGAGGAUCAGCUGUGGAGAGAGGAGACAAGAGGAGGAUCAGCUGCGGAGAGAGGAGACAAGAGGAGGAUCAGCUGUAGAGAGAAAGAGGAGACAAGAGGAGGAUCAGCUGUAGAGAGAGAAAGAGGAGGAUCAGCUGUGGAGAGAGAGGAGACAAGAGGAGGAUCAGCUGUGCAGGGCGAUCUCAGCCUCUAAUCCUCUCUCUCUCUUGUCCUCUCUCUCUCUCUCGUCCUCUUUCUCUUUCUCUCUAAUCCUCUCUCUCUCGCUAACCCUCUCUUUUCCUACUCUAAAUCCCUCUCUUUUUCUCUCUCUAGUCCUCUCUCUCUCUCUAACCCUCUCUCUUUCUCCUACUCUAACCCUCUCUCUUUCUCCUACUUUAACCCUCUCUCUCUCUAGUCCUCUCUCUUUCUCCUCCUCUUACCCUCUUUCUUCCUCCUCCUCUAACCCCUUCUCUCUCUCUAGUCCUCUCUCUCUCUCUUUCUCCUCCUCUAACCCUCUCUCUUUCUCCUCCUCUAACCCAUUCUCUCUCUCUAGUCCUCUCUCUCUCUCUAACCCUCUCUCUUUCACCUCCUCUAACCCUCUCUCUUUCUCCUCCUCUAACCCAUUCUCUCUCUCUAGUCCUCUCUCUCUCUAACCCUCUCUCUUUCACCUCCUCUAACCCUCUCUCUUUCUCCUCCUCUAAACUUCUCUCUCUCUAGCCCGUUCUUUUCCUCUGCUCCUUCCCUGCUCCAAUAGACUAUUACAGGCUUAAUUUGGACUCUCACAUUGGGAUUGUAAUAGAUCAAAACAAGACAAUAUUUUAACUCCUCAGGUUAGUUGCUAUGUAAACUUAUUUUGGUGAAGAAGAGGAUUGACGUUGCGGAUUCUGUUGUUGCCACAGUGUUCUAUUUGAAAUACACUCAGCUUUGAACUUUUCAUUUUGUCUGUCGCACUCAGGAAGUAAAUACAUUUAACACCAGUGUAGGGACAGAGAAGUUAUUACCCUUGGGGUUAUUUGAUUUGCUGUGAGUGGAACUCUCAGUUUUGAAAAAGGUACCCCUUCAUAAAAGAACUGCAAACAUAUCAUUGAAGUACAGUAAGCUCGUACUAUCCCUAUGAUUAGCUGGCUCCAGUUCAUUACAUAGAAACUAUCUAGAAUUACACAGUGACUUUCCACCCACUCCUCCAUGGAGCUCUUCUGAGCUAACUUAUUUACCAAUCUCUCAUUUUGAUUGCAAUCUAUUAAGAAUUACCUGCCUCCCAGCUCAGUCAGAACAAUUACAUUGCUCUGCAGUCUGUAUUGGAAAUCGAUAGCUAUCUGGGUUCAAUCAAGCCCAGGUGAUAGUCCUCUUUAACCCAGAGACGCCAGAGAUGUCUAUUGAAGGUGACGCCGAUUGUCACUCGGACUCAAUCCGGCCCCGUGUUGUGAGACGGAGAGGGAGCGAUCCGCCCGGCAGAAUGAUUCCUCCACCUGAGUCGCUCCUCAGAUCGAUGGGAAUCGUGUUGUGAUUCUCCCGACUCCUCCCUAAUUGCUACAGCAGGUGAAUGAGGGAGACAUUGAUUCUGCAUGUCUGCCUGGUGUGUUAAGACAUCAACAACCCUGCUGUGGCUACUCCAUUAUCAAGGCGUUUGAACACACAAUAACUAAUGUUAGCUCAUCAUGACUGAGAACUGCAUGAUAUUGUAAGGUAAGACAAGGCAAGACUGGUCAUCCAUACAGUAGAACAAUGAACUUAGUGUAUUUUGUGUUGUAAUCUACUCCUCUGGGAUGGCACAUGAUAAAGUACUGCGUCCCAAAUGGUAUCCUAUUCCCUAUAUAGUUCACUAUAGUUCACUAAUUUUGACCAGAGCCCUGUAGGCCCUGGUUAAAAUGAAUGCAAUACAUAGGGAAUAGUUUGCCAUUUAGGACACAGACAUUGAAAUUCCUUGAUUGACACAAGUUGUACUUGAGAAAAGUCAUUGUAUGGCAACAUGCAGCUGGACUUCAGAUCCUAAACAAACUGGACAGGAGUAAAGUCCCUUGAAUAAAAAACAGAUAUAUUUA